UAAUAACACUAUACAAAAGCUCAACCAAACAACUUUCGAACCAACUGAGUUGGCAUCUUAUUUGAUAAAAAACCAUCAAAACACAGAGAAACAGACUUAAAGUUCCUCUGGUUCUCAUAAUUAAAAUUAAACCAUUAUCACAAUUCAAUUCAAAUGUUUUCUAACUAGUUGUUAACUUUCAUUUUUUAUAAAAUCACUUAUAUAUAAAUAAUUUUCGUAUUCAAAUCUGUUUUCAAAAUUUAUAAAUAUUUCUUUUUUAUUAUAUAUUAAUAAUUAUAAGUAUCCAGACAGAGAGAGAAUAAAGAUAUAAAAAUGAAGAAAACUCCAUAGCCACCGAUCUCUCUCCGUGGUUGGCCGUGCUUCUCACCGCCACUACGUGAGGGAGGAUCUGCUCCUCCUCUUUAGUUUGAGCUAAGUCUUGUUUAGUUUCUUCUUGUGUUUUGUUAAGUUCUUUUGUGAAUUGGAUCGGUGAUUUUAAGUCUCCGGCGACGUGCCUGCUUCUUCGGUGGUCGUUCGGCUCUUUCUCUGGGUAGCGAUGGCUUUUUAGCAUCAGAUAUGCCGGUUUUCUGUCUCCGGGAGGGGAUGGCUUCUCUAGCAUCUCUAUCGCCGGCUUUGUGUCUCUAGGAAGGGAUGCUUCUCUAGCAUCUCGAUCGCCGGCUUUGUCUUAGGUGGAACAGAGAGUAUGCGGUUAGUCUAUGCCGUCGACGUUGUUCUGUAGAAUCGUCGUGAUAGCUCUGGAGGGUUUGAUUACGACACAUGUUAAGUUUUCCGUGUUGGUAAGAGCUUCUUUUGUGGUCUUUAGGACUAUGGUUGGUUCUGCAAGUGGCAAGUUUGUAUUUGGGCCUUUUAUUUAUGUUUGUUGUAAUUUCGGACUUUGUUUUAAAAAAAGUUUAGAGAAAAAAAAAUUAUAAGUA